AACGAACGCUGGCGGCAUGCCUAACACAUGCAAGUCGAACGAGACGUUCGGGUGUAGUGGCGCACGGGGUCGUAACGCGUGGGAACCUUACCUUAGGUUCGGAAUAACUCCCCGAAAGGGGUGCUAAUAGCGGAUAAGGUCUUCGGACGAAAGAUUUAUCGCGCUGGGUUGGGCCCGCGUUGGAUUAGGUGGUUGGUAGGGUAAAAGCCUCUUAGGGCGUCGAUCCAUAGCUGGUCUGAGAGGCUGAUCAGCCACUCUGAGACUGAGACACGGCCCGGACUCCUACGGGAGGCAGCAAUGGGUAAUAUUGCACAGUCGGCGAAAUCCUGAUCCAGUUAGGACGCGUGAAUGAUGUUGGUCUUAGGGUUGUAAAGUUCUUGUACCCGUGAUCAUAAUGACGGUACCGGGAGAAUAAGCCCCGGCUAACUCCGUG
rnacentral:rRNA from 1 species